UAUAAAUAUGAAACCCUAGAUUUAGAGUUGUUCCAUGCGGCCAUCACCUUUUCAGCGUGCUGUGUCUACACCCUACCCUCUACACUUAACCUUCUCUUCUCCCUUCGGCCCUCCACAAUUCCACUCCACUAUUCUGCCCGCACGACCAGUCGUCGACCGCGAAGGGAGGUUGGCAUUCGGCAUUCACAGAUCGCUGCACAGCCUUUGUCCUGCUCGACCACCAAGGCUUUUCCUCUCUCUCGUAACGUUAAUCAGUUAAUCAGCUCUCCGUAGAGCUCGAUUUAUCUCUCUCUAUUGCUUGAUAUUUUUCUGUUUAAUUUCGAUUUGAAUCUACUCCUGAUUUCAUUUUGUUUGUUGUUGGCAUUGUUAUGAACUAUGGAUCUUGUGGGUAUUAUGCGGCUGUUCAGGUUCUCUCUUCAUUUCCUGUUUGGAUGUGGCUGGUCUUGUUGAACGGCCGCAAUGAGUCCAUCCCUUAUCAUUUUGCUUACUCUUUGACGGAUUUUUUAAUAAGAAAUUUUAAUGUAAUUUUUUUCUUUUUUUUUUCACCGCACAACCUCGGAUACCACGCGCAAAAACGCGGAUGCUACAGUCAAGAUCUAGAUUACGGUUUCCGGUUCACGCUAUAAAUUGCUCUUCAAGCCAUUCAGGUUUUAGAUCCAGCUAUCAGUUCCGUUCUUAGGAUCUAUUAUGAGCUGCUUGGGUAGCAAACAGUUUUCGCAGUCGUGCACAUAAGGUCCUUCGAGUACGCGAAACUAGCUUCCUAACGUUCGGGAGCGUGGGUGUCGGUUAGUUAUGUAUAGUACUUGAGUAAGUAUUGAUUUUUGUAACUAGGUUGUUAUUGUUGGGUUUGUAGAUACCUGGGGUAUGUACUGUAUUUUGGAGCGUAGACUUUAGAUAUGUUUAGACUCUGGUAUGGUACGCUAUAUGUAUUAGAAAGAAUAUUUUUGCCGCGUAUUUGAUAUGUAUAUAUGUGUAUAUGAUUGUGUAUAG